UAAAGAAGUAGAUUUUAUUGCUUCAGUUGAUCACCGAAAAACUGUUAUUUUCUAGUUUAAUUCAUUUCCUUUCGACUAGUUGUUAAUUUGUUAUACUUUUUAGGUUUGUUCUAUUGUCAGUGAAUGUACAUUUGUCGAAAGGGCCUACACAUCAUUCUUGCUCUUGUUAGAAAAAUAAUUCUUGAACAACUGGCAGUUGGUGGCAACCACCUUUCAUCACUCAUUUUGAUGUUCUUUUCAAUUAUUUUUUUUGAUACUGAUGGCCUGUCUGUCUUGCCAUCGAUCCAUCCUUGAGAUAGCAAUUAGUGACCGUAACCUUUGUUCCAUGGGAAAUAUGACUUCAUGGACAUUUGACUUCUUUGAGAGUAUAACAGAAUCUUACUUUUGCGAUCAAUAUUGUACUAAGAGCAUCUUAUCCUGUGAUAUUGUAGGCAAGGAGGGCAUUGAGAGCGUUGCGGGGACUUGUUCGAUUGAAGUCCCUGGUUGAGGGUGAUUCAGUUAAGCGUCAAUCUGCAAGCACUCUGCGCUGUAUGCAGACUCUAUCACGGGUGCAGUCACAAAUACGUUCUAGGAGAGCAAAGAUGUCUGAGGAGAACCAGGCCCUCCAGCGCCAGCUCCUACUCAAACAGGAAUUGGAGAACUUCAGGGUAUGCAAACCAUCUCAAAGCUUCACAGUAAAAAUAUUCAUUGUGCUUGUGUUGUUCAACUAACAUCAGUAGUAUCGUAGACCGCCAUAUGUAUCCAGGGGAGCCUUGCCCCCCAAGUCUUGUACUCAAUAUAUACCAGCUGAUGCCUCAAUGCAAUACAAUCAACCAAUCUAUUGUACACAAUCUAUUCUUCCUACAAGUAUUGUUUUCUCCUUUGCUCUAAGCCUCGAGAUAAUUUCAAAAUAUUAUUAAGGGCAUUAAACAUAUUCUGUUUGUGGAUAAUGCUAUUUCAGAUGGGUGAGAACUGGGAUGACAGCACUCAAUCCAAGGAGCAAAUCGAGGCGAGCCUAAUAAGCAGGCAAGAGGCAGCAAUAAGAAGAGAAAGAGCGCUUGCAUAUGCAUUUUCACAUCAGGUAUGAAUUCUUUGUUCUCAAAACAGAUGCCAAUCUAUAUGUACUUCAACUCAGUUUAUGAUGGAAAGCUUAAAAUGUCUCAAAAUGUGUGUGUGUGUGUGUGUCUUUUACAGUGGAAGAGCACUUCAAGAUCUGUCAACGCAAUGUUUGUAGACCCAAACAACUUGCAGUGGGGCUGGAGCUGGUUGGAGCGCUGGAUGGCAGCAAAACCUUGGGAGGGCCGCAAUGGGGCUGAUAAGGAGAGCAACAUUGACCGUGGAUCUGUUAAGAGCAUGAGCUUGAACCUUGGAGAGGGUGAGAUCACAAAAGCUUUCAACCGCCGGGACUUAAAGCCAGAAAAGCCGUCACCACCAACUCCAAAACUGACCCGUCCAGCCUCCAGGCAAUCCCCUUCAACGCCCUCCGCUAAAGUGGCACCAUUACCUGCAAGGAGGAAAUCUGCCACGCCAAAGAAUGGACUUUCACAGGUGGACGACGAUGCAAGAAGUGUGUUCAGUGUGCAGUCUGAGCGACCAAGGAGACACAGCAUUGCCACCUCGACUGUGCGGGAUGAUGAGAGCCUCGCAAGCUCUCCGUCACUUCCAAGCUACAUGGUUCCCACAGAAUCUGCAAGGGCGAAGUCACGCCUCCAAGGAUCAGCAUUGACUAAUGGCGCAGAGACACCGGAGAAAGGAGGCUCUGCUGGACCGGUCAAGAAGAGGUUGUCCUUUCAAGGUGGAACAGCAGCUGCCUCACCAAUGCGGCGACAUUCUGGUCCUCCCAAGGUGGAGAGUGCAGUGAAGGACAUUGUUGCCCCACCACAGCCAGAGGCCUUGGUGAUCAAUGGUGGAAGCAAGUGAGUCAUAUGACAAGUGCCAGGAGGGGGGGAGUGGAUUAUGAAGAUAUAUUUUAUCCAUG
rnacentral:lncRNA from 1 species